GAUGAACGCUGGCGGCGUGCCUAAUACAUGCAAGUCGAGCGAACAGACGAGGAGCUUGCUCCUCUGACGUUAGCGGCGGACGGGUGAGUAACACGUGGAUAACCUACCUAUAAGACUGGGAUAACUUCUGGAAACCGGAGCUAAUACCGGAUAAUAUAUUGAACCGCAUGGUUCAAUAGUGAAAGACGGUUUUGCUGUCACUUAUAGAUGGAUCCGCGCCGGAUUAGCUAGUUGGUAAGGUAACGGCUUACCAAGGCAACGAUGCGUAGCCGACCUGAGAGGGUGAUCGGCCACACUGGAACUGAGACACGGUCCAGACUCCUACGGGAGGCAGCAGUAGGGAAUCUUCCGCAAUGGGCGAAAGCCUGACGGAGCAACGCCGCGUGAGUGAUGAAGGUCUUCGGAUCGUAAAACUCUGUUAUUAGGGAAGAACAAAUGUGUAAGUAACUAUGCACGUCUUGACGGUACCUAAUCAGAAAGCCACGGCUAACUACGUG
rnacentral:rRNA from 1 species